CAAUGGCACUGCCCGGUAGCUAAAUGCGGAAGAGAUAAGUGCUGAAAGCAUCUAAGCACGAAACUUGCCCCGAGAUGAGUUCUCCCUGACUCCUUGAGAGUCCUGAAGGAACGUUGAAGACGACGACGUUGAUAGGCCGGAUGUGUAAGCGCAGCGAUGCGUUGAGCUAACCGGUACUAAUGAACCGUGAGGCUUAACCUUACAACGCCGAAGGUGUUU
rnacentral:rRNA from 1 species